CGUUGGGGUGCUCGAGUGGCGAACGGGUGAGUAACACGUGAGUAACCUGCCCUUGACCUUGGGAUAACUUCAGGAAACUGGGGCUAAUACCGGAUAGGAGCUCCUGCUGCAUGGUGGGGGUUGGAAAGUUUCGGCGGUUGGGGAUGGACUCGCGGCUUAUCAGCUUGUUGGUGGGGUAGUGGCUUACCAAGGCUUUGACGGGUAGCCGGCCUGAGAGGGUGACCGGCCACAUUGGGACUGAGAUACGGCCCAG
rnacentral:rRNA from 1 species